CAGUAGCCGCGGUAAUACGAAGGGGGCUAGCGUUGUUCGGAUUUACUGGGCGUAAAGCGCACGUAGGCGGAUUCUUAAGUCAGGGGUGAAAUCCCGAGGCUCAACCUCGGAACUGCCUUUGAUACUGGGGAUCUUGAGUUCGGGAGAGGUGAGUGGAACAGCGAGUGUAGAGGUGAAAUUCGUAGAUAUUCGCAAGAACACCAGUGGCGAAGGCGGCUUACUGGCUCGAAACUGACGCUGAGGCGCGAAAGCGUGGGGAGCAAACAGGAUUAGAUACCCCCGUAGUCCCUGUCUCUUAUAC
rnacentral:rRNA from 1 species